CAAGAAUCUAAAGGUUUAUGGUGGCAACGUCGUCGUUUUUCUUCGUGAGUAUUGCAUGCUUUUAUUGACUGUUCCCACAGCCCCGUAUCUACCCAUAUCCACUUCCUCUGUUUUGUCCAUUUCUCACAGACCUGUUACCCCUUGAUAUCCUAUUUUAAAAAAAUUUCAAAAACAAAAAAAAUCCAUAAAAUUUGGCCUCUACUAUAAGCCCCCGAGCACUUCAGUACAACCUCCUUACCCAUCUCCAUUUCUUAUCCUCGCUUUCUACCUUCUCUGGCCAAAAGCCAUGUUUGAAGAAUCCGUAUCUUCCAUACCCUCCUCUGUCUGGGCAUCCAUGAAUAGUUGGUUCACCCCAUCUGUUCUCUUUCUCUUCCUCAAUCUCAUGAUAGGCACCAUUGCCAUCACCUCAAGGUUAGCCACCCUGAAACCCACCCAACACCAAGAGGACAAACAACCACAACACGACGGGCAUCAACUUGUUAGAUCUCCAUCCGUGCUUCAAAGGUUCAAAUCUAUCAACUUCUACAGUUAUAGAUCUUCUGAACCCACUACCGUAACCUAUGAAAAAACUCAGCAAUUUGACUCCCAUUUCACUCUCCAACAAUCUCCUCACGAUGAGUACCACCAAAAUCAACCUUUUAUCUGUAGAUCUCCUUCUAUUCUUCAACGUCUAAAGUCUGUCAACCUCUAUAAUUACUUCUCUCAGGAACCCAGUACCAAUAAUUUGCCCAGAACUCAAGAAACGCACACUCAUUUCACUCCACAGCCAGUUUAUCAACUGGAACAAGAACAGCUCCAAGAACAAGAAGAAGGAGUGGAAACAGAACAAGAAGAGGAAGAUACUGAGGAAAUCCAAGAUCAAGAACAGACCCUUGACGAGAUAUACAGCAAGCUACAGAGCAAUAAUAAAGUGAACAGGUCCAAAUCGGACACAAAGCCAACCUCUGGCGAGGUUCCCACAAAGCUUCCAAAGAAAAUGAAAAAAUCUGCUAGCGCUAAGUCUGCUUUUGCUCAUUUCAAAGAAGAAGACAAUGUGGAAUCUCGUCGGCCGGCGACUGUGAGAGAAAGCAAGACUAAAGCGACAGAGGAGGAUGAUGCGGAAGUGGAUGCCAAGGCUGAUGAUUUCAUCAACAGAUUUAAGCAGCAAUUGAAGUUGCAGAGGAUUGAUUCCAUUAUGAGGUACAAGGAGAUGACCAGUAGAACAAGUGGAAAUUAACUAAUCAAAGGUGGGUUUUAGAUUUCUGGGUUGGAUUUUAUUUUUGUUAAUUUGUUUGAAAUUUUAGGUUUCAUUGAAUGUGGAUCCACUUAAAACAAUUUCACUGCUUUGUUGCCUGUGCUGGGCUUGCUCUGCUCAGCUCUGCUAUUGCUAAUACUCAUUAAAAUCACUAAAAAUUCAUCUUAUUAGUUACUAAUCUCUUUUAACUUUAGAGGCUUCUGUAGCAUUAAUAAGAUAAUGAAAAGGGAAGAAAAGAAAACAGAAGAGGUGACUCUGACAAUUAAAGUAUAUAAGGACAAUUUAGUCCUUCUAAUUUUAUAAUAUAAUUUUAUGAAAUAUACAUUGAAUGAGGGUAAAUUGGGGAAAACGUAGAUGGGUAGAUGAGAUGAAAGGUGGGUGCUUGGCUGUGUUUGGUUGGAAGGCACGUGGGAGAUUUUAUUGCUUUAACUAACACAUUCUGGACUGUCUUCCGUAUAAGAUGUAACUCUAAUUACAGUUUUUUUUUUUUUUUUUGCACCUGAGAGCAACUUACCCUUU
rnacentral:misc_RNA from 1 species